rnacentral:rRNA from 1 species
UACAGAGGGUGCGAGCGUUAAUCGGAUUUACUGGGCGUAAAGCGUGCGUAGGUGGUUUGAUAAGUCGGUUGUGAAAGCCCCGGGCUCAACCUGGGAAUUGCGGCCGAUACUGUCAGGCUAGAGUGCGGUAGAGGAUGGCGGAAUUCCCGGUGUAGCAGUGAAAUGCGUAGAGAUCGGGAGGAACAUCUGUGGCGAAGGCGGCCAUCUGGACCAGCACUGACACUGAGGCACGAAAGCGUGGGGAGCAAACAGG